CAUAGACUGUGUUUUUCCUAUGGGUAAUUUUUAUAGAACCCCCUGUUCCAGUGUUAUACAGUUCUGUUUGUCUUUAGUAAGGUCCUAAGGGAACUCUAGUGGAAGAAAGUUGUCAUAGAAUAAUAAAGACAAGAACAAUGGCCACCACCCCACAAGCGAAGUGUGUUGAAAAAUCGAGUUUGAAAAACAGGGUGGCUGAACUGGAGACGAGUAAUGAUAUUACUCUAAAGCUAUCAUGCCUAUCUUUUGGUAAAGGUAUGGUUACUAUAACUGUCAGUAAGAAAGUCGGUGUUAAUGAUUUAUGGAAGUUGAUAGAAGAGAAGAGGAAUGUGAAGAUUCGUUCGAUUAUUAUAGUGGGAUAUAGAGAUGAUACUAAGAGAGAGGAUGGUAAGACAAUUAUCUACUGCAGUGAUGAGAACAAGAACGACUCUAGCCUGGAACAACUAGGUGUUGUAGACCAGGACGACGUUUUGUACUUACUGUGAUUAUAUUGAUAGGAUAGUUUGAUGGGUUCAACACACUUGCUUCCUCCUAUUUUGUUCUAUAUGGGGGUGGGGUGGAGAGGGGAGGGGUAAAUCUGAAGGAGGUUAAAUAUUAAUCAGAACGAUGUUAGGUAUUAUUAAAAUUUAUUGUAUCGAUUGUCUUCUUGUCUCUUGUGUAGGUGGUGAGGUUGGGUUAAAUUGUUAGAGUGGUGGGUUGAUAGUUGUUGUGUUGGUAAUAUUUAACCAGGUAUCAUAUACACCCCACCCCCACUGACCUCCUAAUACAAAACUACCUUAAUGCUGUAUAUAAAGCUGUAAUUAAAUAGUCACGAUUAUGAGAGUAUAAGUUGGCGUGGUCAGGUGGUAAUUAACUGACAUAAAGUAAUGGUCUCAUUCGUGGUUAUCUUGGCCCUGUUUCUCGAAGUCUUAACAAAAGAUAAAAAAAAAUCCAAUUUUAGUAGCUACUUCAAUGUUGAUUGACUCAGCACUAAAAUCAAUCUAAUAUUAUCCAAUCAAAUUACUAAAAUUUGGAUUUUAUCUUAGUUAAAAUUUUGUGAAACAGGUCCCAGGUGAUAUAGAAAAAUGGUUGUAGUCGUGGUUACCAGGUGGUUACAUUGUUAGACUGUUCUAGAAUAUUUUUCCAAGAUGUAUAUGAUUUAGGUUUGAACUUUCUACUGUAUAAUGAAUUAACAAUGUUUUAUAUUUUUUAUUCAAUAAAAUAUUUUAUAUCUAAUGUCA